AUGGCCGCCACGUACAACCGCCCCCUCCACUCCCUCCUCAGCGGCGGCGCAGUUGCCGACCUGCUCCUCUGGAGGCGGAGGAACGCCUUCGCGGCGGCCGUCGUGGGCGCCAUGCUCGUCUGGUUCCUCUUCGAGCGCGUCGGGUAUAGCCUUGCGUCGGUCCUCUCCAACGUCGUCCUCCUCCUUGUCGACAUCCUCUUCUUCUGGGCCAAGUCCGCCUUGCUGCUCAACAGGUUUGUCCCUGUGUUUACUCCCCAGUUUGCUCUGCCUGGCGCCCGGCCUGCCAUGCUACUCCAGUCCAGAGUAGGAGCAGCUCUUGUUCGAGAUCUGAUCCAGAACUAA
rnacentral:rRNA from 1 species